ensembl:misc_RNA Metazoa_SRP Metazoan signal recognition particle RNA
GCUGGGCGUGGUGGCUUGCGCCUGUAAUCCCAGCUACUAGGGAGGCUGAGGCAGGAGAAUUGCUUGAACCUGGGAGGCAGAGGUUGCAGUGAGCCGAGAUUAUGCCACUGCACUCCAGCCUGGGUGACAGAGCAAGACUCUGUCUCAA